GAAGCCAAACCGGUUCAACGGUUCGCGGGAUGCCAAGGAGGUCGAGAAUUUCCUUUGGCAGAUGGAGAUAUACUUCGACAAUCUCAACUUGGUGGCUGAGAAUGCGAAGGUGAAGGCCGCGACGUCCUACCUGUCAGACACGGCCAUGCUGUGGUGGAGAAGGAAACAUUCCGAGAUCGAGCAAGGAACAUGCCGGAUCGAUACUUGGGAUGAUUUCAAGAAGGAGUUGAAGCGGCAGUUCUACCCGGAGAACGUCGUGUAUGAGGCCCGUAAGAAGUUGAGGGAACUUCGACAGCGUGGUUCGAUCCGGGACUAUGUGAAGGAGUUCACAACGCUCAUGCUUCAGAUUCCGAACAUGACCGCGGAGGAUCUUGUGUUCUACUUCACCGAUGGACUGCAAUCUUGGGCCAAGCAAGAGUUGCAGCGUCGGGGAGUCAAGACAGUGGACGAAGCCAUUGCGGUGGCUGAGUCGCUGACUGACUUCCGCACCUCUGGUCCGUCUGAGUCCUCAAAGAAGAAGGAGCAGGUCGUGGCCAAAGGUGGGGGAGCGAGACGGGAUACUUUCCGACCAUCCAACUCAAGGAGCUUUGAGAGGGGUGCUCGUCGGGAAGACUUCGAGGCAAGGAAAAAGUCCUUCGUUCCUAAGGGAGGGUGCUUUGUGUGCAAGGGGCCACAUGCGAUGAAGGACUGUCCGAAGAUGGGAUCUUUAUCGGCUAUCAUGGAAAGUCGGGACACCGAGACUCCAGAAGAGGAAUCAGUAAAGAUGGGGUCGUUGCAGCUUCUCAACGCCCUAAAGGCUAACCCGGUAGUGAAGCCGAUGAGCAAGGGGCUCAUGUACGUGGAAGCUCGGAUCAACGAUAAGCCGACCCGAGUGAUGGUGGACACGGGCGCCACUCACAACUUCAUGGCAAUAGACGAAGCUGUGAGACUUGGUGUCAAGUGGUCCAAGAAGGACGGUUGGAUGAAGACGGUGAACGCCAAGGCUCAACCCGUCCAUGGAAUAGCCCGAGGGGUCGGGAUGAAGUUGGGAAGCUGGAGCGGUCCGGUGAACUUCUCAGUCAUUCCUAUGGACGACUUCAAGGUAGUCUUGGGUAUGGACUUCAUGAGACAAGUCUCAGCCAUACCCAUGCCUGCGUUGAGCUCGGUAUGUAUACUCGAGAAGGGAUCACCGUGCAUGAUUCCAGCCUUGGAAGAGAAAACUGAUGGGACGAGGCAACUAUCGGCAAUGCAACUCACCAAGGGGGUGAAGAAGGGUGAACCCACGUUUUUGGCAAUGAUGAAGGUGGAAGAUCAGCCCAAGAACGUGGAGACCAUCCCACCAGUCAUCGAGACUGUCCUUGAGGAGAACAAGGACGUUAUGCCGGCCAAGUUGCCCGAGAAGCUACCACCGAGGAGGGCGGUGGACCACCAGAUCGAGUUGGAGCCAGAAGCUAAGCCCCCAUCCAUGGCGCCUUAUAGGAUGGCUCCAUCCGAGCUGGAAGAGUUAAGGAAACAACUCGAUGAGUUGUUAUCGACGGGGAAGCUGAGACCGUCAAAGGCACCUUACGGGGCACCGGUUCUGUUCCAAAAGAAACACGAUGGUUCGUUGAGGAUGUGCGUGGACUACCGGGCCCUUAACAAGGUGACAAUCAAGAACCGCUAUCCCAUUCCAUUGAUUGCCGAUCUAUUCGAUAGACUUGGUGGAGCAAAAGUCUAUACAAAGAUGGACUUGCAGAAGGGUUAUUACCAAGUCCGGAUAGCGGAAGGGGAUGAGCCUAAGACUGCAUGCAUAACGCGGUAUGGGUCGUUUGAGUGGUUGGUGAUGCCAUUCGGGCUUACAAACGCCCCAGCCACGUUCUGCACCCUUAUGAACCAGAUCCUUCAGCCCUACUUGGAUCGGUUCGUGGUGGCAUACUUAGACGAUAUUGUCAUCUACAGCAACUCGAUGGAGGAGCAUGUAGAGCACCUACGAACAGUUUUCCGAGUUCUUCGAGAGAACGAACUGUUUGUAAAGAGGGAAAAGUGCACAUUUGCCACUGAGGAAGUUCAGUUCCUUGGCCAUGUUAUCGGCCAUGGAAAGCUGAAGAUGGAUGAACCGAAGGUCAAGGCGAUUAUGGAGUGGGAGGCCCCGACCAAGGUGACGGAGUUGCGAUCUUUCCUUGGUCUAGUCAACUACUAUCGUCGGUUCAUCGAGGGAUAUUCGAGGAAGGCGGCACCACUGUCAGACCUUCUCAAGAAGGGGAAGACAUGGGACUGGUCCGAACGUUGCCAAGAAGCCUUCGAGGAACUGAAGACUGCGGUAAGCGAAGAACCCGUUCUUGCCUUACCCGACUUCAGUCUUCCUUUCGAGUUACAUACGGAUGCCUCCGACUUUGCCAUCGGGGGAGUGCUGAUGCAAAACGGACAUCCAAUUGCCUUUGAGAGUCGCAAGCUCAAUGAGACUGAACGGCGGUACACGGUUCAAGAGAAGGAGAUGACCGCGAUAGUCCAUUGCUUGCGAAUUUGGAGACACUAUCUUCUG
rnacentral:lncRNA from 1 species